GCGGGUUUAGCUCAGUUGGGGUACGUUACAGUAGUAUUUCCCUCACUUCGAACAAACAACUAACCUUCACUGGCAGAGAGCGUCAGACUGAAGAUCUGAAGGUCAUGUGUUCGAUCCACAUAAACCGCA